ensembl:lncRNA
UUGUCACAAAGUGCCAUUUUUAAGUUCAAAAUGUAGAUCUGUGUGCAUGUAGGCUAAAUUAUCUGUAAUGAAAUACAUACACCUCUCACAUUUGCUUGUGUGCCAGCGAUUAACCCUGCUCCGUGUGCCAUUGCAACACUAACAUAUGCUUUUUAAUAUUUAUCUUUAUAUGUUGCAUAGAUACAGUUUUUGAGCCUGAUGGGAGGUAGCAACAUUGGAGACGCUGUGAGGAGAAUCCUUCGGAAAAUAGCUACCAAUGAGGCCUGGUCAAAUUACAGCCUGAAAGGCCGAAAAGGAAAACUGACCUUCAUUGGGACAGCGCUUCACCAUAUUGUUUUAAGUGCUUGUGCCAAACAAUUUCCGAAACACACAGAAAAGGAAAUUGAUACAUGUAUAGGGGAAACCCUCAAACAUGCACCUCACCGUGCCAAGGUGGUCGCGACACCUGUAAGUUGUUUUAUUCAAUGAGACCUCCCCUCUCUCUCUCUCUCUCUCUCUCUCUCUCUCUAUAUAUAUAUAUACAUAUUCUCUAGAAUAACAUAACUGUUUUGAUUUAUUUACUUAGUACUUAUAAACAAAGUGAAGUUAAAAGUAAUUAAAAAGUCGUUGAAGUGAUUGGUAAAUAUAAUGUUUGAUUUUUUCAGGCAGCGGAAGAAGAACUUCGGGCACCUCCUGGGGAUGGAGACAAUGACUGACACACACGCACACACGCACACACGCACGCACGCACGCACACACACACACACACACACACAGUAUAUAUUUAAUUUAAAUAAUUGUUUUUGUUACUUGUUGUUCAGCAUUUACUGAACAUAAAAUUAAUAUAAAUCGUUGUUCUUGUUGUUAUUACUGUUUCCUAAUAUUUGGAAAAAUCUGUUUUUGUUCACACAAAAUAAAUAAAUAAAUGACUGAUUUUAUCUUUGAGUGUGUUAAACGUGCAUGCUUAUUCCUGAUUAAGGUUCUGAAGUGUUUUUUGCAGUAACAUUCUAGUUUGGUUCCCUACAGGUCCUUGAGACCAGUGGGGAUGUUCUUAGAACGUUCUGGGAACAUCACAUUUCCAAAUAAAACAUGGUCCCCUAAACGUUCCGAUAACGUCCUGAAUGUUCUGUGAAGGUCCGCAAAAUAACGUCCCCCGACCCUUUAAAGAACUCCACAUCAUGACCGUCUCCGAACGUUCCCGGAACGUUACUAGGCGACGUCCUUGACACUAGUGGGGACGUUCUGAGAACGUCCUGGGAACGUAACAUUUCUAGCUGGGUAUUGACUGGGCCUUCAGACGAGCCUUCCUCUUCAUGAUUACGCGCUUUGUGAGGACAAGUGAACCGUUUGUGACCAAAAUCCCCGCACUCAAAGCACCGUAAAGUCUCCGUACUAGCAUACACCAUAUAUGAACCUUCUCCAUGAGAUACCCUGAAAGACACAUCGAGCGUUUUAGCGGGAGAGCUCAAAAACAUAUAAACAUGUCUUCUAAAAGAUAGCACAUGUUUAAGUGCAGCGUUCUUACAACCCAACGAAAUUUCUUUUACAGCACCGGCAAUUUUGCCGAAUCUAGUCAGCUCUUUAACGAUACUCUCAUUACCAACGAACGGGGGUACAUUAGAUAUGAUAAUUUUAGUUGCCGGUGCGGACAAUGGUGUAAUAGGCACGUACGUUUCAUUGAUCCAUAUUCCGCUUUCAAUCAAGGUUUUCACCUGAUUUUCAUUUUUUUUAAAAACGACUACUGCCUUAUUCAUUCUUGAAGCCGAGCUAAUAUUUUCAUGACCAACUUUGGCUCCGACGGCAAGGAGAACAUCCUCAAUAGCAGUGUUCGCCUCCGGUGUACACCUGAAACCAUUCCGGAGGGUGAGAGGCGACGCCACCCCCGCGGGGGUGGACGUCAUGUUGCCUCACACUCGCACCCCACACGAAAUAACAAUAAAACCUUCCCUAAAAAAAGUGUUUUGAAAGGUGAAAGAAAAUGGAAAAAAAUAAAAAUAAAUAAAUAAGAAAAAAAAACGAAAAAGCAAUUAUAUAGCUUAAAGGAAACUGAAAAAAGCCAGACGCUCUCACACACGUGUCUCUCACACACGCACUCGUUCCCAGCAUCCACUCCGAUAGAGAGAGAGAGAGAGAGAGAGAGAGAGAGAGAGAGAGAGAGAGAGAGAGAGAGAGAGAGAGAGAGAGAGAGAGAGAGAGUAUUACCUCUCUGAGUUUAUGUGUCUCUCAAAAUUGUUCGGCAGCAGCGUCUAUACUAACAGUGAAACUUUAAGUUAAUUUUCUUCAUAAACAGUGCUGUUACCUCGCUUGUGAGAAAUAUCAUGUAGCUUUUAAAAUAAAAUUGCCAGAGUAGCAAUAACAGCAUUAGCGUGUGUAUGUUUCUGUACUGUAAAUUAUGUAUGUGCGU